rnacentral:rRNA from 1 species
GAUCAUGGCUCAGGAUGAACGCUAGCGGCAGGCCUAACACAUGCAAGUCGAGGGGGCAUCACGAGGUAGCAAUACUUGGUGGCGACCGGCGCACGGGUGCGUAACGCGUAUGUAACCUACCUAUAACAGGGGCAUAACACUGAGAAAUUAGUACUAAUUCCCCAUAAUAUUCGGAGAGGCAUCUCUCCGGGUUGAAAACUCCGGUGGUUAUAGAUGGACAUGCGUUGUAUUAGCUAGUUGGG